rnacentral:rRNA from 1 species
GAUGAACGCUGGCGGCGUGCCUCAAACAUGCAAGUCGAGCGGGGCUAUGUAAUAUCGCAAGGUAGAACAUAGCCUAGCGGCGAACGGGUGAGUAACACGUGGGUAACCUGCCUGGAAGACAGGGAUAACGAUUCGAAAGGGUCGCUAAUACCUGAUAAUAUCCUUUCAUCGCAUGGUGAUAGGAAGAAAGGGGAAACCCGCUUUCAGAUGGGCCCGCGUCCCAUCAGCUAGUUGGUAAGGUAAAGGCUUACCAAGGCGACGACGGGUAGCCGGUCUGAGAGGAUGUACGGCCACACUGGGACUGAGAUACGGCCCAGACUCCUACGGGAGGCAGCAGUUGGGAAUCUUAGGCAAUGGACGAAAGUCUGACCUAGCGACGCCGCGUGAGGGAAGAAGGCCUUGGUUGUAACUACUGUCAUGGGGAAGGAAGUAAGUAGACGGUACCCGAACGAGGAAGACCCUCGCUAACUACGUAGCCAGCAGCCGCGGUAAAUAGACGUACU